AGGGGUUUUUGCACGAUCUAACAGUCAAAAAUCUAUUCAUCAUCAGAUCCAAUGGUCCAGACGUAUUGCUGACUUUGAAUAGGACUCUUCUACACGAUCCGACGGCCCAGAAGUAAUCUAUCACAUGAUCGGACGGCUGAGGAUGCUCCCGAUUGUGUUAAGGAAACCUUUUGCACGAUCUGAUGGCUCAGAUCUCAUUCGAAGC
rnacentral:lncRNA from 1 species